CCAAUAGCGUAUAUUAAAGUUGUUGCAGUUAAAAAGCUUGUAGUUGAAUUUCGGGAUCAAUAUUUCGGUCAUGCCGUUGGUAUGCACUGUUAUCAUUGAUUUCUCACCUUCUAAAGAACCGUAAUGCCAUUAAUUUAGUGUUACGGAGAAUUAGGACUGUUACCUUAAAAAAAUUAGAGUGUUUAAAGCAGGCUCACACU
rnacentral:rRNA from 1 species